rnacentral:lncRNA from 1 species
UUGUAAUCUAAAUAAUACCAGCAAUUUUUAAUCGGCUCAUUUGUGUUCCAGAAAUGCAGGAUGAUUCAGAAAGGUGAAGUGCUUAGGAUCUCAGAAACAUUUCUUUUUAUCUUUGGCUUUCUUUUUAAAACACUUAAUAUGGUUUGCCUGUGUCCCCACCCAAAUCUCAUCUUGACUUGUAUUUCCCAUAAUCCCCUCGUGGGAGGGACCCAGUAGGAGGUAAUUGAAUCAUGGGGGUGCUUACCCCCAUGCUGCUGUUCUCAUAAGAUCUGAAGGUUUUAUAAGGGGCUUUUUCUCCCUUUUCUCGGCACUUCUCCUUGCUGCUGCCAUGUGAAGAAGAACAUGUUUGCUUCCCCUUCCACCAUGAUUGUAAGUUUCCUGAGUCCUCUCCAGCCCUGCAGAACUGAAGAGACACUCGGUGGAGGAUUCAAGCUGAUACAGGAGCCGUGGAUUGCCACCUGCCUCUUCUCCUAUGCCUGUCAUGAGUACACACACCAGUCCUGUCUGCUGGCCAAGCCCCCUUGCUCCCAGGUGGGAGAACAAUGUGUAGAAGCACAAAUUAUAAACUGAUUCUUGUGUUCUCUAAAGACAGUCUGUUUUUCAGAUCAUGAUUAGGAAUGAGUAAACGUCAAUUACAGGCAUCCUUAUAAGAGACAGCAGAGAAGACACAGACACAGAGGGGAAGGCCAUGUGAAGGCAGAGAAUGGAGUGACGCAGCCACAAACCAAGCAAUGCCUGGAGCCACCAGAAGCUGGAAGAGGCAAGGAAGGGACUCUUCUUCAGAGGGAGCAGGGCCCUGCCCACACCUUAGCUUCAGACUUCUAGCCUCCAGAACUGGGAGAGAAGAAAUGUCUGUUGUUUGAAGCCACCCAGCUGUGGCACUUUAUUACGGCAGCACGGGAAAUGCAUACAGCCUCCAAAAGAGAACGAAGCCCUUCUGAGAGCUUGAUUCCAGACAUGCAAGACCCUGAGCCCACCGCGCCUGGGUUUCUGCCUACAGAACUGUGAGAUAAUCCAUGGUUGUUUUACGCCACUCCAAUUGCAAUAAGACAGUGAGGAUGUCAUGUGAGUGACCAGCAAGGCAUGUGGCCCAACCAGACAGCCAGGGAAGGCCUUUAACGAGUAACUUGAGGCUGAGAGUGAGGUGGUGAGUUGUGGAGAAAGUCCCAGCUCAGGGUUCACUGUGGACCAACAGCUCUUUACUGUGGGGUACUACCUUCCUGGAGAAUUUCCUGGAGAGUAUAAGGCCUGACGUGGGCCUUCAAAUAUCUCAACAAGAACAAUAAAUCCCUCCAGAAAACCAUAUUACUCCACUUUCUUUCCAAAGGAAAUUCAAGUCUGUUGAAAUGCUUGCUCUAAAACAGUUUCCAGUGAUAUUAAACAAAUUCGUGGCUCUCAGAAUACCUUGGGUGAUGAUCAAUAAGAGUUGUAUGUGCUUUACAUGCUGAUAAUCACACCUAACCCACAGCAUUUGUCUGAUGCCUAAGUGGGCUCAGAUUUGCCCAAGGCUCUGGUCCAAGGACCUCUGAGGGACACAGCCUCGUCACUCAGACAGGAGAGCCCAACUCAGUGACAAACAAAGGCCAAGGGAUUCUGCACAUGAAGACAAAACAGAGUCUUCCUUCUCAACUAGAGAAUGGCUUAUCUAAGAAAAAAAUCAACUGGAGAGAAAAAAAAAGUGAGGAUGUCAGCAUUUAACAGGAAUCUUGAAACUUUGACAGGAAGGGUGACCCUUUUCGGUCAAUCUGAAAUGUAUGCAGACAGGUCACAGAUAUAUUCCAAAUACAUUUUUUUAAUUGCUAAAUAUGUUUAAAGAAGAUUUUUAAAAUAAAACUCAAUGGACCAGUUUAUACACUGCAAAUUCAUUACAUUUUUCCAACCACGCAGAGCUAGGCUUAAACUCAACUAUACUGAAGGUUAAACUCAACUAUUACCAGUGUUAUUCUAUCCCAAAGAAUGAGCCAGGUCUAAGCUGAUGUUUCCUCCUGUUGUGACAAUAAGAACUUUCCCCAUUGUCUUCCACCUUUCCCCUUCUCGCUCCAUUUCCACCUCUCCAUCGCGCAGGGAAGGCAGAUUAGAGUUCACUAGAAACACAAUACCUGAAACAUAAAGGCCUCACACCUACCCGCCUAGGAGUACAGCUCAGAUGAUCUUUCUAAUAAGGAGUGGCAAUGGAGCUUGCAGGCCGAAGAAACUAUAACUUGGGUGUGAUUGACAAGAGCUUAGGCUAACACAUGCCUGCUUCUAUAAUUAUAUUGUUUGUCUAGAGAGAAAAAACAAAAAAACAAUAAAUCAUCCAGCGGUGCAUGACUGGCUUAGUUCUCUGUCUCUCUCUCACUGGGAAACUCACGAUGAAGUUCUUCCAGGAAGAGGUUGCAACCCCACCUGCCCACCAUUCUCCAUGACACCUGUCACUGACCAAGAUGCAAGAAACACAUGGGCCCCUGCAAAAUCUCUCGAUUCAUUUUACUGUUUCUUGGUGAACUGACUUGUAUUAUCUCCCUUUUCGCUACCCUUAUUAGUUUCCUACAAACCACUACAAGUUAGCAGCUUAAAACCACACAUGGCGGGGCGUGGUGGCUCACG